GCCCGGUUAGUUCAGUUGGUUAGAACACCACAACAUGGUGCAAUCUUUAAAUCGUGGAAACGCGGGUUCAAUUCCUGCACUGGGCU